rnacentral:rRNA from 1 species
AGAUUGAACGCUGGCGGCAGGCCUAACACAUGCAAGUCGAGCGGUAGAGAGGUGCUUGCACCUCUUGAGAGCGGCGGACGGGUGAGUAAUGCCUAGGAAUCUGCCUAGUGGUGGGGGAUAACGUUCGGAAACGGACGCUAAUACCGCAUACGUCCUACGGGAGAAAGCGGGGGACCUUCGGGCCUCGCGCCAUUAGAUGAGCCUAGGUCGGAUUAGCUAGUUGGUGAGGUAAUGGCUCACCAAGGCGACGAUCCGUAACGUGGUCUGAGAGGAUGAUCAG